UACGUAGGGUGCGAGCGUUAAUCGGAAUUACUGGGCGUAAAGCGUGCGCAGGCGGUUUUGUAAGCCAGAUGUGAAAUCCCCGGGCUUAACCUGGGAAUGGCAUUUGGGACUGCAAGGCUGGAGUUUGGCAGAGGAGACUGGAAUUCCCGGUGUAGCAGUGAAAUGCGUAGAUAUCAGGAGGAACACCGAUGGCGAAGGCAGGUCUCUGGGCUGACACUGACGCUCAUGCACGAAAGCGUGGGGAGCAAACAGG
rnacentral:rRNA from 1 species